rnacentral:rRNA from 1 species
AACGGCGGCCGUAACUAUAACGGUCCUAAGGUAGCGAAAUUCCUUGUCAGGUAAGUUCUGACCCGCAUGAAAGGCGUAAUGAUUUGGGCACUGUCUCAACAGCCCGCCCGGCGAAAUUGUAGUACCGGUGAAGAUGCCGGUUACCCGCGACAAGACGGAAAGACCCCAUGGAGCUUUACUGUAGCCUAAUAUUGGGUUUCGAUGUUGCAUGCACAGGAUAGAUGGGACACUGGGAAACAAUCGCUUUGGCGGUUGCGGAGUGGCCGUUGGGAUACCAUCCUUGCGAUAUUGGAAUUCUAACCUGCGGCUCUGAAUCGAGUCGGGGGACAUUGUUAGGUGGGCAGUUUGACUGGGGCGGUCGCCUCCUAAAAAGUAACGGAGGCGUUCAAAGGUUCGCUCAGCUUGAACGGAAAUCAAGCAAAAGAGUGCAAACGCAGAAGCGAGCCUAACUGCGAGACUGACGGGUCGAGCAGUAACGAAAGUUGGAGUUAGUGAUCCGGUGGUAUGUGAGUGGAAAUGCCAUCGCUCAACGGAUAAAAGUUACCCUGGGGAUAACAGGCUGAUCUCCCCCAAGAGUCCACAUCGACGGGGAGGUUUGGCACCUCGAUGUCGGCUCAUCGCAUCCUGGGGCUGUAUUCGGUCCCAAGGGUUUGGCUGUUCGCCAAUUAAAGCGGUACGCGAGCUGGGUUCAGAACGUCGUGAGACAGUUCGGUCCCUAUCUGUCGUGGGCGCAGGAUAUUUGAUGGGAGCUGUCCCUAGUACGAGAGGACCGGGACGGACGUACCUCUGGCGCACCAGUUGUUCCGCCAGGAGCAUAGCUGGGCAACUACGUACGGAUCGGAUAAACGCUGAAAGCAUCUAAGCGUGAAGCCGACCCAAAGAUAAGAUAUCCCACUGAUUUGAUCAGGUAAGACCCCUUGAAGACUACAAGGUCGAUAGGCACGAUGUGUAAGUGGAGCGAUCCAUUCAGCAAGCGUGUACUAAUAGGUCGAGGGCUUGACCAC